GCCCAAGUGGCGGAAUUGGCAGACGCGCUAGAUUCAGGGUCUAGUGGUCGCAAGGCCGUGGAGGUUCGAGUCCUCUCUUGGGCACCA
rnacentral:tRNA from 1 species